CUUCAAUCAGAUAAGGCGGGGAGCCCGGAGUCCGCGGUCCGAUCGGGCACAGCGCGAACGGAACCGAGGAGGCGGAGUGCCCGGGUCCACUCCACGACAAGACGCCCUUCUCCCGGCGCCACCGCUGCCCAUGGCGAAUAUGCAGGACAGAUAUGGUUGGAAUUCAUGAACCGAUGAAAGACACUUGGUAAACGAGAGAGAGGCAACAGACAGCGCAGGAAUGAAGAAUAAAACGUUCUCGGUGAAACAGCAAAUGUUGGACUGGGCACCCUGAAAAAUCACUCUGAAUUACGGGCAUCUGUCUACACAAUUGUGGAGUUGAAAUUUGAAAAAUGAAAAAAGAUACUAAUAAUCAACCA